CCUAAGCGUAGCCAUGAGUUUCCGUGUCCAACUUUUAUCAUCCGUCUUAUUUAAAAAAAUUUUAUGAUUAGUAUUUUUAUUGUUAUUAGAUUAUAAAACAUGAAUAAUAUUUUAUACUUGACUUAUGCUUUUUAUUUUUUUAAAAAAAAUAAAUAAGACGAACGAUUAAAGUUAUAUGCGGAAACUAAUGGUUACGUUUAUU
rfam:Oryza glumipatula chromosome 12, whole genome shotgun sequence.